AUUGAACGCUGGCGGCAUGCUUUUCACAUGCAAGUCGAACGGUAACAGGCCGCAAGGUGCUGACGAGUGGCGAACGGGUGAGUAAUGCAUCGGAACGUGCCCAGUCGUGGGGGAUAACGCAGCGAAAGCUGCGCUAAUACCGCAUACGAUCUAUGGAUGAAAGCGGGGGGCCGUAAGGCCUCGCGCGAUUGGAGCGGCCGAUGUCAGAUUAGGUAGUUGGUGGGGUAAAGGCUCACCAAGCCAACGAUCUGUAGCUGGUCUGAGAGGACGACCAGCCACACUGGGACUGAGACACGGCCCAGACUCCUACGGGAGGCAGCAGUGGGGAAUUUUGGACAAUGGGCGCAAGCCUGAUCCAGCAAUGCCGCGUGCAGGAAGAAGGCCUUCGGGUUGUAAACUGCUUUUGUACGGAACGAAACGGUCCUGGUUAAUACCCGGGGCUAAUGACGGUACCGUAAGAAUAAGCACCGGCUAACUACGUGCCAGCCGCCGCCGUAAUAC
rnacentral:rRNA from 1 species